AGAACGAACGCUGGCGGCAUGCCUAAUACAUGCAAGUCGAACGAACACUUCGGUGUUAGUGGCGCACGGGUGCGUAACGCGUGGGAAUCUGCCCUUGGGUUCGGAAUAACAGUUGGAAACGACUGCUAAUACCGGAUGAUGACGAAAGUCCAAAGAUUUAUCGCCCAGGGAUGAGCCCGCGUAGGAUUAGCUAGUUGGUGAGGUAAAGCUCACCAAGGC
rnacentral:rRNA from 1 species